UACGUAGGGGGCAAGCGUUGUCCGGAUUUAUUGGGCGUAAAGAGCGUGUAGGCGGCCAUACAGGUCCGUUGUGAAAACUCGAGGCUCAACCUCCAGCUGUCGACGGAAACCGUAUGGCUAGAGUCCGGAAGAGGAGAGUGGAAUUCCUGGUGUAGCGGUGAAAUGCGCAGAUAUCAGGAAGAACACCAAUGGCGAAGGCAGCUCUCUGGGACGGUACUGACGCUGAGACGCGAAAGCGUGGGGAGCGAACAGG
rnacentral:rRNA from 1 species